rnacentral:rRNA from 1 species
UAAUACGAAGGGGGCUAGCGUUGUUCGGAAUCACUGGGCGUAAAGCGCACGCAGGCGGAUCGUUAAGUCAGGGGUGAAAUCCCGAGGCUCAACCUCGGAACUGCCUUUGAUACUGGCGAUCUUCGAGUCCGGGAGAGGUGAGUGGAACUCCGAGUGUAGAGGUGAAAUUCGUAGAUAUUCGGAAGAACACCAGUGGCGAAGGCGGCUCACUGGCCCGGUACUGACGCUCAGGUGCGAAAGCGUGGGGAGCAAACAGGAUUAGAUACCCUGGUAGUCCACGCCGUAAACGAUGGAUGCUAGCCGUCGGUGAGCUUGCUCUUCGGUGGCGCAGCUAACGCAAUAAGCAUCCCGCCUGGGGAGUACGGUCGCAAGACUA